GGUGAAUGCAUUCUGGGUACGAUGUCGAAACGAUUAGUCAUCACCGGGUUUGUAUUCAUCCG
rnacentral:pre_miRNA from 1 species